AAGUCGUAACAAGGUUUCCGUAGGUGAACCUGCGGAAGGAUCAUUAUUGAAUUAUGUUUUCUAGAUGGGUUGUAGCUGGCUCUUCGGAGUAUGUGCACGCCUGUCUGGACUUCAUUUUCAUCCACCUGUGCACCUUUUGUAGUUCUUUUUCAGGUAUUGGAGGAAGUGGUUCAGCCUAUCAGCUCUUUGCUGGAUUGUAAGGACUUGCAGUGUGAAAACAGUGCUGUCCUUUACCUUGGCCAUGGAAUCUUUUUCCUGUUAGAGUCUAUGGUUAUUCAUUAUACUCUUAGAAUGUCAUUGAAUGUCUUUACAUGGGUAUAGCCUAUGAAAAAUUAUUAUACAA
rnacentral:misc_RNA from 1 species